rnacentral:rRNA from 1 species
AUUGAACGCUGGCGGCAUGCCUUACACAUGCAAGUCGAACGGUAACGGGCCUUCGGGUGCCGACGAGUGGCGAACGGGUGCGUAAUACAUCGGAACGUGCCCGAUCGUGGGGGAUAACGAGGCGAAAGCUUUGCUAAUACCGCAUACGAUCUACGGAUGAAAGCAGGGGACCGCAAGGCCUUGCGCGGACGGAGCGGCCGAUGGCAGAUUAGGUAGUUGGUGGGAUAAAAGCUUACCAAGCCGACGAUCCGUAGCUGGUCUGAGAGGAUGAUCAGCCACACUGGGACUGAGACACGGCCCAGACUCCUACGGGAGGCAGCAGUGGGGAAUUUUGGACAAUGGGCGCAAGCCUGAUCCAGCCAUGCCGCGUGCAGGAUGAAGGCCUUCGGGUUGUAAACUGCUUUUGUACGGAACGAAAAGCCUUCUUUUAAUACAGGAGGGUCAUGACGGUACCGUAAGAAUAAGCACCGGCUAACUACGUG